CUAUCACACAUGUCGCCUAAUCAGUUAAUUAGUUCAAGCAUAAAAGCAUCUCCGACGUCUCAACUCAAAGUCCGGCCCUGUAUAUCUGGAUGACUGCUGCUUUGAGAUUUUUCGCAAAAUCUAUUCGGGCUCUGUUUGAAUUCAAACAGACAAAAUCAACACGCCAAGAUAUGGCUUGGGUUAUUUAAGCGACAAAGUUUGGGAACUAGUGACGUAUUGUAAAUUUUCUGUAAAGUUUGUUAGUGACUGAAAGAAAGAGAGUGAAACAUGAAAGGAACUAGUGAAAGUAAUAGUAUACCCAUCAGUAUUAUUAGUGAUGGAAAAUUAAAAAAUGGAUUAGAAAAAGCUGACGAAGAACCAGCCGAUUUUGAAACGGCCAUAACGGCAGCAGGAUGGGGUAAAUUUCAUCUGCUGGUCUAUGUGUUGUCUAUAACAUCAGGAUGGUCGUCAAAUUUCGAAACAACAACCAUGUCGUACGUUUUUCCUGCAGCUGAAUGUGAUUUAAACCUUAAUCUCGAACAUAAAGGUCUGCUAAAUGCAGCUACGUAUAUAGGUAUGAUUUCUAGUGGUCUCUUCUGGGGAUACUUGUGUGACACGUUAGGAAGAAAGAAACUAUUGAUAGCAGGUUUCCUAUUGGAUGGAAUAUUCGUUAUGAUAUCUGCGAUGUCUCAGAAUUUCGCCAUGCUCAUAACGGCGAAGUUCUUUGGUGGUUUUAUAAUUAAUGGUCCAUUUUCUGCACUGACUGCAUAUCUCUCAGAACUGCAUUGUGCCAAACAAAGGAGCAGAGUACAAAUGAUUUUAAGUGUGAUAUUCAGCUUUGCCUCUUUGGCAAUGCCUGCCUUAGCCAUAUUAGUACUGCCUCUAGGAUUUAAAUUUGUUGUGACUGAAAAUUUUGUAAUCCAUGCCUGGAACGUAUACUUGUUUAUAUGCGCAGCUGUGCCUUUAACAAGUGCUGUAGCAUUCCUAUUUUUACCAGAGAGUCCCAAAUUUUUAAUGACAACCGGUAGAAAUGAAAAGGCGUUGAGGGUUUUUAGAAAAAUUUAUUCCAUGAAUACUGGAAAACCAGAGGAAACUUAUCCUGUGACAGUUCUAGUAAACGAAAUCGAACUAAACAAAGGUAAAAAUCACGGUAAGAUGACUGCCAACCGUACAAAAAAGGAAGCUUUAAUCGAAGGAUGGUCUCAGGUUAAGCCUCUGUUUCGUCCACCCUACCUCAGUAAAAUCCUUUUUGUAUGUCUGAUUCAGUGCUGUACAAUCACCAGCUUAAAUACUCUACGACUAUGGUUACCUCAAUUGUUCCAAGCGGUCAACGACUAUCGACAAUUUCAUGAAGAAUCAGCUCCACUUUGUGAAAUGUUGGCUGUUUUUAAGACUAAAAAUAAGACUGUAGAAAUAGUGAAUCCUGGAGAAUGUGCAGUGAAUACCAACAAUUAUUCGGUCUACAUCAAUUCGAUGAUAGUUGCAGGUGUUACAAUUGUAAUAUCAAUAUUGUCGGGGACAGUUAUCCAGAAAGUUGGAAAGAAACGUCUAUACAUGGCUCUUAGUACAGUGUCUGGUACAGUGGCAAUAUCACUGUAUUUCUCUAGAAGCAUGUUCACAACAUUGGCUUUUGCUUCACUAUUCACCGGAACUGGCACGGUGAUGAUUAAUGCACUUCUGGCUGUUAUUGUCGAUACAUUCCCGACAACUUUACGAUUAUUAUAGGAUAUGAAACUGGCUACAUAGCACCUAAUUUACAUUUCAAAACUCCUAAAGAAGAAAUUAAGUCGCUAAUAGACGGUAGGCUUAAAGUAGUUACAGAGAAAACCGCGUUUAAGGAUGACAGGGGCUUGGUAGGAAUCAGCAGCUUUGGAUUUGGAGGUAGUGACUGCCACAUACUCCUCCGACAUAAUCUUAAGGAGAAAGUAAACCAGGGUAGACCAUUUGAUAAUAUACCUAGAUUGAUUUGUACUAGCGGUAGGACGCCUCUUGCAGUCAGCAAUAUUCUAAAUAGCGUCAUAGAAAAUAAAUUUGAUGUAGAGCAUAUCAGAUUGCUACAUGAUGUUUUUAGAUUUUAAAAUACCAACAAUAUUAUGAAAUAAACUACUUAGCGACAACACGAUCAAGUAACACAAGUAAAAACACCACAAGUAAAAAUACGAGAGGCUUUCCAAACUAUUAGCCCUAAUAUGUUAGCCAAUGUCAGACGGGGAUUUUACGACCGCCUAGGCUUCUGUCUAGCACAAGAAGGUGGUCUUUUUGAACACUUGUUAUAACUUUUUUUAUUUAGAGUAAUAUUAUAGUUUUUUUUGGGUUUAGAGAAUUUAUUUAUUUUUAGUUUUGGCUUGUAAACACACUCAAAUAAU
rnacentral:misc_RNA from 1 species